rnacentral:rRNA from 1 species
GUAGGGAAUAUUGGGCAAUGGAUGCAAGUCUGACCCAGCCAUCCCGCGUGCCGGAAGAAGGCCCUCAGGGUUGUAAACGGCUUUUGGCGGUGAAGAACCGACAGGAUGCGUCCUGUUUUGACGGUAGCCGUUGAAUAAGCACCGGCUAACUCCGUGCCAGCAGCCGCGGUAAUACGGAGGGUGCGAGCGUUGUCCGGAUUUAUUGGGUUUAAAGGGUGCGUAGGCUGGAAGGUCAGUCAGUGGUGAAAAGCUAUCGCUUAACGAUAGUCUUGCCGCAGAUACUUCCGUUCUUGGAUGAGGAGGAGGCCACUGGAACGGAUGGUGUAGCGGUGAAAUGCAUAGAUAUCAUCCAGAACACCGAUUGCGAAGGCAGGUGGCUGUACCUUAAUCGACGCUGAUGCACGAAAGCAUGGGGAGCAAACAGGAUUAGAAACCCCAGUAGUCC